rnacentral:rRNA from 1 species
AUGAACGCUAGCUACAGGCUUAACACAUGCAAGUCGAGGGGCAGCAUGGUCUUAGCUUGCUAAGGCCGAUGGCGACCGGCGCACGGGUGAGUAACACGUAUCCAACCUGCCGUCUACUCUUGGACAGCCUUCUGAAAGGAAGAUUAAUACAAGAUGGCAUCAUGAGUCCGCAUGUUCACAUGAUUAAAGGUAUUCCGGUAGACGAUGGGGAUGCGUUCCAUUAGAUAGUAGGCGGGGUAACGGCCCACCUAGUCUUCGAUGGAUAGGGGUUCUGAGAGGAAGGUCCCCCACAUUGGAACUGAGACACGGUCCAAACUCCUACGGGAGGCAGCAGUGAGGAAUAUUGGUCAAUGGGCGAGAGCCUGAACCAGCCAAGUAGCGUGAAGGAUGACUGCCCUAUGGGUUGUAAACUUCUUUUAUAAAGGAAUAAAGUCGGGUAUGCAUACCCGUUUGCAUGUACUUUAUGAAUAAGGAUCGGCUAACUCCGUGCCAGCAGCCGCGGUAAUACGGAGGAUCCGAGCGUUAUCCGGAUUUAUUGGGUUUAAAGGGAGCGUAGAUGGAUGUUUAAGUCAGUUGUGAAAGUUUGCGGCUCAACCGUAAAAUUGCAGUUGAUACUGGAUAUCUUGAGUGCAGUUGAGGCAGGCGGAAUUCGUGGUGUAGCGGUGAAAUGCUUAGAUAUCACGAAGAACUCCGAUUGCGAAGGCAGCCUGCUAAGCUGCAACUGACAUUGAGGCUCGAAAGUGUGGGUAUCAAACAGGAUUAGAUACCCUGGUAGUCCACACGGUAAACGAUGAAUACUCGCUGUUUGCGAUAUACGGCAAGCGGCCAAGCGAAAGCGUUAAGUAUUCCACCUGGGGAGUACGCCGGCAACGGUGAAACUCAAAGGAAUUGACGGGGGCCCGCACAAGCGGAGGAACAUGUGGUUUAAUUCGAUGAUACGCGAGGAACCUUACCCGGGCUUGAAAGUUACUGACGAUUCUGGAAACAGGAUUUCCCUUCGGGGCAGGAAACUAGGUGCUGCAUGGUUGUCGUCAGCUCGUGCCGUGAGGUGUCGGCUUAAGUGCCAUAACGAGCGCAACCCUUGUUGUCAGUUACUAACAGGAUUUGCUGAGGACUCUGACAAGACUGCCAUCGUAAGAUGUGAGGAAGGUGGGGAUGACGUCAAAUCAGCACGGCCCUUACGUCCGGGGCUACACACGUGUUACAAUGGGGGGUACAGAGGGCCGCUACCACGCGAGUGGAUGCCAAUCCCCAAAACCUCUCUCAGUUCGGACUGGAGUCUGCAACCCGACUCCACGAAGCUGGAUUCGCUAGUAAUCGCGCAUCAGCCACGGCGCGGUGAAUACGUUCCCGGGCCUUGUACACACCGCCCGUCAAGCCAUGGGAGCCGGGGGUACCUGAAGUGCGUAACCGCGAGGAGCGCCCUAGGGUAAAACUGGUGACUGGGGCU